rnacentral:lncRNA from 1 species
UGACGGUGGCCUCUGUUAAGAAUUUCCAGCUGGUCGCAGCUGUUGAGCCAUCACAUAAUGUAUCACCUGAAGAGCAAGAGAAGGUAAUCUUACAGUUUGGUAAAAUCGGCAAAGACAUCUUCACAAUGGAUUAUCGAUACCCUCUAUCUGCUUUUCAAGCCUUUGCAAUCAGCCUAAGCUGCUUUGACACCAAACCUGCUUGUGAAUGAUCACCACAGGUUGGGGAUCUGCAUCAUUGAUGUUGCCAUAGAUUAUCAAGUACCCCUCUUUCAAUGCCAUCG